UACGAAGGGUGCAAGCGUUACUCGGAAUUACUGGGCGUAAAGCGUGCGUAGGUGGUGAGUUAAGUCUGAUGUGAAAUCCCCGGGCUCAACCUGGGAAUGGCAUUGGAUACUGGCUCGCUCGAGUGCGGUAGAGGGUGGUGGAAUUCCGCGUGUAGCAGUGAAAUGCGUAGAUAUGCGGAGGAACACCGAUGGCGAAGGCAAUCCCCUGGGCCUGCACUGACGCUCAUGCACGAAAGCGUGGGGAGCAAACAGG
rnacentral:rRNA from 1 species